UUUAGGGAUGCAGCAAAGUGAUUAAGUUAUAUCAAUACAUAUACAUAUAUUCAUUCUUUUUCAGUGUCUUUUCCCAUAUAGGUUAUCACAGAAUACUGAGUAGAGUUUUCUGUGCUAUACAGUAGGUCCUUGUUGGUUAUCUAUUUUAUAUUUAGUAGUGUGUAUAUGUUGAUCCCGAGCUCCUAAUUUAUCCCUCCCCCCAACAUUUCCCCUUUGGUAACCAUAAGUUUGUUUUCAGAAUUGUGAGUCUGUUUCUAUUUUGUAAAUAAGUUCAUUUAUAUCAUUUUUUUAGAUUCCACAUAUGAGUGAUAUCAUGUGAUAUUUGUCUUCUCUGACUUACUUCACUUAGUUUGAUAAUCUCUAGGUCCAUCCAUGUUGCUGCAAAUGGCAUUAUUUCAUUCUUUUUUAUGGCUGAGUAAUAUUCCAUUGAUAUAUGUACCACAUCUUUUUGUUAAGUGUACAAUUUAAUAUUUUUUUCUUGUUAGUAAUGUGUAUAUGGCAAUCCCAAUCUCCCAAUUCAUUUCCCUCCAACCCCCCCUGCCACUUUCCCCACUUAGUGUCCAUAUGUUUGUUCUCUACAUGUCUCUAUUUCUGCCUUGCAAUCCAGUUGAUCUGUACCAUUUUUCUAGAUUCCACAUAUAUGUGUUAAUAUACGAUAUUUGUUUUUCUCUUUCUGACUCACUUCACUCUGUAUGACAGUCUCUAGGUCCAUCCAUGUCUCUACAGAUGCCCCAAUUUCAUUCCUUUUUAUAGCUGAGUAAUAUUCCAUUGUAUAUAUGUACCACAUCUUUAUCCAUUCAUCUGUUGAUGGGCAUUUAGGUUGCUUCCAUGUCCUGGCUUUUGUAAAUAGUGCUGCAGUGAACAUUGGGGUGCAUGUGUCUUUUUGAAUUACGGUGUUCUCUGGGUAUAUGCCCAGUAGUGAGAUUGCUGGGUCAUAUGGUAAUUCUAUUUUUAGUUUUUCAAGGAACCUCCGUACUGUUCUUCAUAGUGGCUGUAUCAAUUUACAUUCCCACAAACAGUGCAAGAGCAUUCCUUUUUCUCCACACCCUCUCCAGCAUAUACUGUUUGUAGAUUUUCUGAUGAUGCCCAUUCUAACUGGUGUGAGGUGAUACCUCAUUGUAGUUUUGAUUUGCAUUUCUCUAAUAAUUAGUGAUGUUGAACAGCUUUUCAUGUGCCUCUUGGCCAUCCAUAUGUCUUCUUUGGAGAAAUGCCUAUUUAGGUCUUCUCUCCAUUUUUUGAUUGUGUUGUUUGUAUUUUUGAUAUUGAGCUGGAUGAACUGUUUAUGUAUUUUGGAGAUUAAUCCUUUGUCUGUUGAUUCGUUUGCAAAUAUUUUCUCCCAUUCUGAGGGUUGUCUUUUCAUCUUGCUUAUAGUUUCCUUUGCUGUGCAGAAGCUUUUAAGUUUCAUUCAGUCCCACUUAUUUAUUUUUGUUUUCAUUUCCAUUACUCUAGGGGUGGAUCAAGAAAGAUCUUGCUGUGAUUUACGUCGAAGAGUAUUCUUCCUAUGUUUUCCUAUAGGAGUUUUAUAGUAUCUGGCCUUACAUUUAGGCCUUUAAUCCAUUUAGAGUUUAUUUUUGUGUAUGGUGUUAGGGAGAGUUCUAAUUUCAUUCUUUGACAUGUAGCUGUCCAGUUUUCCCAGCACCACUUAUUGAAGAGGCUGCCUUUUUUCCAUUAUAUAUCCUUACCUCCUUUGUCAUAGAUUAGUUGACCAUAGUUUAUCUCUGGGCUUUCUAUCCUGUUCCAUUGAUCUAUAUUUCUGUUUUUGUGCCAGUACCAUACUGUCUUGAUCACUGUAGCCUUGUAGUAUAGUUUGAAGUCAGGAAGCCUGAUUCCACCAACUCCGUCUUUCCUUCUCAAGAUUGCUUUGGCUAUUCGGGGUCUUUUGUGUCUCCAUAAAAAUUGUAAAAUUUCUUGUUCUAGUUCUGUGAAAAAUGCCAUUGGUAAUUUGAUAGGGGUUGCAUUGAAUCUGUAGAUUGCUUUGGGUAGUAUAGUCAUUUUCACAAUGUUGAUUCUUCCAAUCCGAGAACAUGGUAUACCUCUCCAUCUGUGUUGUCUUUGAUUUCUUUCAUUAGUGUCUUAUAGUUUUCUGAGUACAGGUCUUUUACCUCCUUAGUUAGGUUUAUUCUAGAUAUUUUAUUCUUUUUGUUGCAAUAUACCACAUCUUCAUUAUUCAUUCCUCUGUCGAUGGACAUUUAGGUUGCUUCCAUGUCUUGGCUAUUGUAAAUAGUGCUACAGUGAACACUGGGGUACGUGUAUCUUUUUGAAUUAUGGUUUUCUCCAGAUAUAUGCCCAGGAGUGGGAUUGCUGGAUCAUAUGGUAGUUCUAUUUUUAGUUUAAGGAACCUCCAUAUUGUUCUCCAUAGUGUUUGUACCAAUUUACAUUCCCACGAACAGUGUAGGAGAGUUCCCUUUUCUCCACACCCUCUCUAGCUAUUGUUUUUAGACAUUUAUUUAUUUAUUUAUUUUAUUGGCUGUGUUGGGUCUUCGUUGCUGCACAGGGGCUUUCUCUAGUUGCGUCGAGCGGGGCCUACUCUUCAUUGUGGUGUGCGGGCUUCUCAUUGCGGUGGCCUCUCAUUGCAGAGCAUGGGCUCUAGGCACAUGGGCUUCAGUAGUUGCAGCACAUGCAAUAGUUGUGGCUCACGGGCUCUAGAGCGCAGGCUCAAUAGUUGUGACACAUGGGUCUAGUUGCUCCGUGGCAUGUGGUAUCUUCCUGGGGCAGGGAUCGAUCCUGUGUCCCCUGAAUUGGCAGGCAGAUUCUUACCCACUGUGCCACCUAGGAAGUCCUGUUUUUAGACUUUUUGAUGAGGACCAUUCUGACUGGUAUGAGGUGAUACCUCGUUGUAGUUUUGAUUUGCAUUUCUCUGAUAAUUAGUGAUGUUGAGCAUCUUUUCAUGUGCUUUUUGGCCAUCUGUAUGUCUUCUUCCACUUAGUUGUAUUUCUUAUUUCUUCAUUGAUCAAACUGUCACAACCUGGCCAAUGGGAGCCUCAUUAAAUGGGCUUUGUUCUCUCAAUACUGCCUUGGACAUUUUUUAAAGCAUCCUUGUUUUCUGGCAACAGUAUAUUCCAGGCCCACUGUGAUCUGCCCCCAAACAUAUAAUUGCUCCUCUCCAAGAAGCCCUGAGUACUAUGAGAGGCCCAGCCUAGCCCAGGAGUAUACAUCCCACUUGAUCUGCGUAAGAGCUGGUUGUAGCAGGAUGACAUUGCUGUUGGGCCACGAGGGAAACACAGGCCUGGGAAACACAGAUCUUUUUUUUUUCUUAAUCAUUAUUAUUAAUAAUCUUUAUUGGAGUAUAGUUGAUUUACAAUGUUGUGUUACUUUCUGCUGUACAGCAAAGGGAAUCAGUUAUACAUAUACAUAUAUCCACUCUUAUUUAGAUUCUUUUCCCAUGACAGAUCUAAGGUCCUAAGUUCAUACAGACACCUCUGGUUUAGCUGUCGUCACUAAAUCCUUCCUCAUUUCAUUCUAAUAUGGUUUUUUCCUAUUAACAUAGCUACUUAAAAUGUAAUCCCUUCUUUACCAGAUAAACAAAAUGUGGCAUACCUGUACAAUGGAAUACUCCUCAGCAAUAAAAAGGAAUGGACUGCUUGCUGCAUGUUAUAUGGCUAAACCUCAAAAACAUUAUGCUUAGUGAAAGAAGCCAGACCCAAAAAAGGUCACGCUGUAUGAGUCCAUUUAUAUAUGAAAUGUCCAGCAAAGGUAAAUCUAUAGAGACAAAGUAGAUGAGUGGUCACCUGGGCUGGGGUAGGAGUUGAGAGUUUUGGGGGGUGAUAGAGAGGGAUUGUGGUGAGGAAUUGUACAACUCCAUAAACUUAAUAAAAAUCAUCAAAUUUAUAUUUAAAACAGGUGAAUUCUAUGGGCAUGUAAAUUAUCUUAAUACAGUUGUUGAAAAAGUAAACCUUUCUUCCAACUUCUGCUUGUACCUCAGUUGGUUAUGUUGACCCAAGAUGUUCCAUUAUAUUGACUUUAUUAACUAAAAAAAACCCUUAAACCUGUUUUCCAUACCUUGCAAUUGAUAUUUCCCUCUUGGUCACAGAUCUGCCUUAUUCUGUUUAGAAGUCGUAUCUUCAUGAGGAUGCUAAGUAGAGCCAGAAUCUGAUAAUGUAUUGCUCAUCUGUUCAUUCCUACCAUUUUUUCACACAGACACUUCGUUUUUAUGAAAUAUUUUGAUUAUUUUCCCCUCUGGUGAUUAAAGAAGGGAUCAGCAGUUGCUAUGAUUGUGACUUCCUGCCAAGCUGCUGUGAGGAAACAAACAGGUCUCCAGAAAUGGACGCUUAACAGUCAUGGAUGGAAGAGAAAACUGUAUUCUGAGAGGAGGGUUUGAUUUUAUUAAAACCAUAAUUGUCAAAGUGGCCAGGGCAUGCAAGCUAGAUCCACUCCUCACUCCUGCACACCUGAACCAGGCCACCGACUCCCUGACCCAGCCCGCCCUCACCUUUGAAAUACUUGACGGUCUUCACUUUCAACUCCAGGGUGGCAUCCUCGUCGCACACAAACACCGUGCGGGGAUGCUGCUGGAAGGCAGACACGGUCCACAUGUGGUUCACCCCCUCCUCGAUGGCCUUGUACAGAGCGAAGGCCUUGUGAGCGCCUGUGAUGAGGAUCAUCACCUGGGGGUCGGAAGACAAGCCUGUGGUGGAGGAGCAGCGGAACUGGGAGCCUAGACACCUGCUGAAUUCUAGCCUGGUCCCCCAAAACGAUCACUUGGGCAAAGAAACCUGAAGCUAAAAUGUCUGUUGCUGCUUCCCACUGAAUGUAUCAGAGAGGAACAGAAAAUAAUGCUCCUAAUGAAAGUGAAGAAAUUGGAACCACAAAAAAUUUGAAUGAUACCCAAAUUUCUCUGGACAGACUCACUAAAUUCAGUACAAGACACUAUUCAAUCACACUUCUCCACAUUUAUGAAUCCCUGAGCACAGAGAUAUAACCACAAGCAUCCUGUGGUUGCAGGGGGAGCUCUCUUCCAGCAGUGACCUCCACCAACUGCAGGGAACCAGAGGGCCCCUCUCAGUACCUGCACAGGUACAAAGUCAUAUUCUGACAUUAGCGGUGCUGGGUAAGCAGAGACCAGGAGCCUGCAGCCUCCUGGGCAGUCAGUCAGCGCUGAAAGGUUUCACCUCCUACCAGAAAGAAUGGUUACUUCCAGAGAGGAAGGAGAACAGUGACAGAGUCAGUUGGGAUUUUAGCCUUAUUUAUAAUGUCUUCAUUUUUAAUAAAAAUGGAUUCAGGUGGUACCUGUAUAGUUAAAAUUAACAGCAAAAAGACAAGUCUAGCCCUGCAAUGAAGGCCUGUGGACCCCUGUGCCCUUACCUCUC